CGUAACACGCUCUGAGCCCAUGGAUACCAAGAAAUAUUUUUAGAAUAACUGAAUUUUCUAUGUUUUUCCUGCAGAGAAGAGACUUGCCUUUGUCAGCUCAGUUUAGAUAGCAGGUCUGCUUGACAAUUCUAUUUCUCACCAUAAAUUAAAAAUUGACAUUUUGAUCAUUUCUUUAUUGACCUCAUAAAAUAUUACUGAAUGCCUAAUAUGUAGGAGCUCCUGUAAUUUUUUCAGACCUUAUAAUGUGUCCAAUGGUGAAACAGACAUGGUAAAUAAAGCAAUUACAGAACAGUGUGAUAAAUGCUGUGAUGGGGGAUAUUUCCAGGGUCCUUGGCAUACACAGGCACAAUUCAACUAUAACCCCUGCAGGAAGUAUGUGUAUGGAGGGAGCACCUAAGACAUGUGAAAAAUGACUAAGAAUGAGCCAGGCAAAAGGGGUCUGGAUCCAAACCCACAAAAUCUCCAAGAUAUGCAUAUAAAUGGUGUGUGAAUGAUGUUUCAAUAAAACAUUAAAAAAAAAACUAUUAGUUCUGUAUAGCUGCAGUGGAGUAAAAACUAUGCUAUUUGUUCUGGUCUUUGAUAAAAGGAAUGGAAGCCAUGGAAGGGAUUUAAGCAGGAUGAAAACAUCUGAACAUGCACAAGACUGUGUGUCAAGUUUGAAGUAUCUGGAACAUCAACUGGCCAUGACUGGACUUAACUAGAAUGUCUGUGGGGGUGAG